CUCCGUUAUAAAUAUCCACAUCUAAUGUAUGAAAGACAGCUCAGUUCAAAAUGAAUCCAGACUUAUUUACACUAACCCACUGAUUAAAUAACAGUAAGACCCUAUAUACAAUCACGAUACAAAUCAGUUCCAGUAUAAGAAAGGAACUUACAUUGUUAAAUCAAACAUUUCACCUUUUUAGAUUGGAAAUAUAUCAUUUCUAUCAUCAUCAUCAUCAUCAUC
rnacentral:misc_RNA from 1 species